rnacentral:rRNA from 1 species
CUACGGCGGCAGCAGUGGGGAAUAUUGCACAAUGGAGGAAACUCUGAUGCAGCAACGCCGCGUGGAGGAUGACACUUUUCGGAGCGUAAACUCCUUUUAUAUAGGAAGAAGAUGACGGUACUAUAUGAAUAAGCGCCGGCUAACUCCGUGCCAGCAGCCGCGGUAAUACGGAGGGCGCAAGCGUUACUCGGAAUCACUGGGCGUAAAGAGCGUGUAGGCGGAUUAAAAAGUCAGAAGUGAAAUCCUAUAGCUUAACUAUAGAACUGCUUCUGAAACUCUUAAUCUAGAAUAUGGGAGAGGUAGAUGGAAUGUCUGGUGUAGGGGUAAAAUCCGUAGAGAUCAGAAGGAAUACCGAUUGCGAAGGCGAUCUACUAGAACAUUAUUGACGCUGAGACGCGAAAGCGUGGGGAGCAAACAGGAUUAGAUACCCCCGUAGUC